rnacentral:piRNA from 1 species
UGUUACCCCAUUAAGAAAAGAAUAGCGU